GACGAACGCUGGCGGCGUGCCUAAUACAUGCAAGUUGAGCGCUGAAGGUUGGUACUUGUACCGACUGGAUGAGCAGCGAACGGGUGAGUAACGCGUGGGGAAUCUGCCUUUGAGCGGGGGACAACAUUUGGAAACGAAUGCUAAUACCGCAUAAAAACUUUAAACACAAGUUUUAAGUUUGAAAGAUGCAAUUGCAUCACUCAAAGAUGAUCCCGCGUUGUAUUAGCUAGUUGGUGAGGUAAAGGCUCACCAAGGCGAUGAUACAUAGCCGACCUGAGAGGGUGAUCGGCCACAUUGGGACUGAGGCACGGCCCAAACUCCUACGGGGGGCAGCAGUAGGGAAUCUUCGGCAAUGGACGAAAGUCUGACCGAGCAACGCCGCGUGAGUGAAGAAGGUUUUCGGAUCGUAAAACUCUGUUGGUAGAGAAGAACGUUGGUGAGGGUGGAAAGCUCAUCAAGUGACGGUAACUACCCAGAAAGGGACGGCUAACUACGUG
rnacentral:rRNA from 1 species